rnacentral:rRNA from 1 species
UACGUAGGAUCCGAGCGUUGUCCGGAAUUACUGGGUGUAAAGGGCGUGUAGGUGGGUCUCUAAGUCGGUGGUGAAAUCCUGCAGCUUAACUGUAGGAUUGCCGUCGAUACUGGAGGUCUUGAGUACGGCAGAGGGAGACGGAAUUCAUGGUGUAGCGGUGAAAUGUGUAGAUAUCAUGAAGAACACCGGUUGCGAAGGCGGUUUCCUGGUCCGUUACUGACACUGAGGCGCGAAAGCGUGGGGAGCAAACAGGAUUAGAAACCCCGAGUAGU